rnacentral:rRNA from 1 species
AGUGAACGCUGGCGGUAGGCCUAGCACAUGCAAGUCGAACGGCAGCACAGUAAGAGCUUGCUCUUACGGGUGGCGAGUGGCGGACGGGUGAGGAAUACAUCGGAAUCUACUUUUUCGUGGGGGAUAACGUAGGGAAACUUACGCUAAUACCGCAUACGACCUACGGGUGAAAGCAGGGGAUCUUCGGACCUUGCGCGAUUGAAUGAGCCGAUGUCGGAUUAGCUAGUUGGCGGGGUAAAGGCCCACCAAGGCGACGAUCCGUAGCUGGUCUGAGAGGAUGAUCAGCCACACUGGAACCGAGACACGGUCCAGACUCCUACGGGAGGCAGCAGUGGGGAAUAUUGGACAAUGGGCGCAAGCCUGAUCCAGCCAUACCGCGUGGGUGAAGAAGGCCUUCGGGUUGUAAAGCCCUUUUGUUGGGAAAGAAAAGCAGCAGGUUAAUACCCCGCUGUUCUGACGGUACCCAAAGAAUAAGCACCGGCUAACUUCGUG